CUUCUCUCAGGACUGGGAGCUCAGUGACCGUUCUAACCAAUAACAGGCACACAGAAGGCACUCUAUACAUAAUCACUGACUAAAUGAAUGAGGACUUUCCAACUGCGUUUCCGAGUUAUACAGAUGGGAAAACUAAGGCCAAGGGUGGGAGUGGGCCUGGGUCAACCUCACACAGCUGAGUCUGAGGUGAAACUGGAAGUAGCCACCUCUGCACCUCUCCCAGUCCUGGGCGGGGGGCUCAGAAUUUGAGACAACUAGGGUCCUGCCCCUCAGGCUGGACUGUGGCUGCUGCCAGGCUAUGCCAACCUCUGCCAGAGACCAGCUGUGGCAGUAUGGGCAAGCACAACAACAAGAGGCCAGUGGAGGGGGUGGGCACAGGGCCAGGUGAGCUCUUGGGCUUGACUCACAAAGCCUGAAGGACUGUAUGUGUGUAUGAAAUGAGAGAGAGGGUAGGCACA